AAGGAGGACCACACAUGAACAUUAUUUAAGAAGUACAUAGUGCUAAUGGCCUUGAUGCUCCCAUUCGAUAACAAGUUGUAGCACGCCUAUUAUUGCAAGAGUGAAGAGGGUAUUGUUAACAGGUAAUUAAAUUAUAUUUAUUAGAGAUCGAGACUAUGGAUGAUAAAGAGCCUACUCCAGAAAUCACUGCUCCGGAUAUUAAAGUUAGAUUUGUUAAUGAUAAUGUCUUAAUCACAAUUGUUCAUGAGAUACCACAUGGUCUUGUUACCAAAAUUAUGAGAGAGAUUUCAAAUCUCCAUCUAUUCAUUGCCAACAUGAAUUCUAUGCCAAUAGGCAACAUUUCUCAAGUAUCCAUUGUCGCUGAGAUGGAAUCAGAUUUUAAGACGAGUCAAGAGGAUUUGGAGAGCAAUCUUCAUUCGAUUUUCCUUUGAUUAGAUUUGUGGUCUGAGGUUUUGUUUGUUCAAAGACUUUCCGACUUAUGCCGUGGGAAGUGAUAAAUCCAGGAAAAAUUUUACUUCUUCAAAGAAAAUCCACAUUUUUUUAAAGUUUAUUUCUUUGGAAAAGUGAAAAUUUUCCUUGAAUUUAUGAUUUCCCGUAUGUCGUCGCCACACCCAAAUUUCGAAUUGUUUUUGUUUUUAUUUUUAUUUUACAUGUUUGAAUAAUUCUUGAACUUUUAUUUGAUGCUAUUAUGAAUGAAAGUAAUCUUCUUAAUGAGAAUAAUGAUUGGCGUGACCGCGUGAGUAA